GGAGGGACUGAAGGACCUGAACCUCUUCAGCCCCUGCAAGAGGAGGCUGAGAGGUGAUCCCGUGGCUGCCUACAAACGCAUCAGGGGGCCAGCAGGAAUAGGGGAUAUGAUGUUUACC